GCGAUCGUUAAAGAGAGAGAGAGAUGAUGGCGGUGUUCAGCACAGAAUCGGGCCUGUGUUUUGUAGAAGCUAUGAAGAGCAUUUCGCACAAUAAGCCAGCGGAAUCGAAGAAAGCAAACACUCUAUGGUCUAUGCUCAGAAAUUCCAGAUGUCCACCCAGCCACGACACUACUGUAGUUCCAUUUUGACAACUAUGAUGCAGUUCUGUCUUUUGUGCUUGUUAACAACAAUCACUGGAACUUGCUGAGCUGAUGCUGCUUUGAACUCUGAAGUUUCUUCCUCAUGGUGCGUUAGUUCCUAAGUCUCAUCUAUGAACUGAUCACUUGACCAACAUGCUGCAAUCACCUUUGUGAAUUAACUUGAACAUGUACAAUUAAAAUCACAUCUUGAGCUUCACUUGUUAUCAGUUUAUUUGGCAUU